CUAACUUUAACAUUGAAAAGGCCAUAGACAUGCUAAUAUGUUAGCAUCGGCCCCGUUUGUAAGUUAUAAAAUACAUCUAUGAACUGUUUCAGAAGACCAUAACAGGUUGGUUUAACAUAAAAAGGUAAAUAUUACUCACAGACAUAUGCUCUUUAGGGUUUUAGUGGG